CCAAAAGAUAAUCUUUCAUUCGAAAGAUCUUUCCUUGUGCUGGCUUUGACCGUAUGUAAUUUUGGGACUUAAACAUGAUCCGCCUUACGGUGUAUCGGUCCCAAAAACAAUAUAUCAUCCUUAUUAAAAACUUACUGAACUAAACAAUUGAUUUAAUAA
rnacentral:misc_RNA from 1 species